CCUACGGGUGGCAGCAGUAGGGAAUAUUGCUCAAUGGGGGAAACCCUGAAGCAGCAACGCCGCGUGGAGGAUGAAGGUUUUCGGAUUGUAAACUCCUUUUGUUAGAGAAGAGAAUGACGGUAUCUAACGAAUAAGCACCGGCUAACUCCGUGCCAGCAGCCGCGGUAAUACGGAGGGUGCAAGCGUUACUCGGAAUCACUGGGCGUAAAGAGCGCGUAGGCGGGAUAGCAAGUCAGAUGUUAAAUCCUAGGGCUUAACCAUAGAACUGCAUUUGAAACUGUUAUUCUAGAGUAUGGGAGCGGUCUGUCGCCUUCUUGGUGUAGGGGUAACCUCCGUA
rnacentral:rRNA from 1 species